rnacentral:miRNA from 1 species
ACAAUCUGAAAGUGUCGAACA